rnacentral:lncRNA from 1 species
GAUGAUGAUCGACUUCUCAUUGUCGGGAUCCCAAAAGUCUUCGAACCUCCAUACAGGACUAUCCAAGCCACGGGGUUCAGAACUUCAAUGUUCAGAUGAGGAGCCAGCCUUGGUAGUAGUCGAAGGAGCAUCCUCAGACCCAGUUCGGAGAGGAGGUGGCCGAGAGCUCUAGCUGCCUCAAUGAUUCUCACCCCUAGCCCAACUAUCGGAAGACAUUGGGAAGAAGAAAAUGAAAAAUUGAAGAGACUAAAGAAAGA